rnacentral:rRNA from 1 species
GCCCUGCAUGAAGUCGGAAUUGCUGUAAUCGCGGAUCAGAAUGCCGCGGUGAAUACGUUCCCGGGCCUUGUACACACCGCCCGUCACACCAUGAGAGCCGGUAACACCCGAAGUCAGGAGCCUAACCGCAAGGAGGGCGCUGCCGAAGGUGGGAUUGGUAAUUGGGGUGAAGUCGUAACAAGGUAUC